UACGGAGGGUGCGAACGUUAAUCGGAAUCACUGGGCGUAAAGCGCGCGUAGGCGGUUCGUUAAGUGGGAUGUGAAAUCCCCGGGCUUAACCUGGGAAUCGCAUUUCAAACUGGCCGACUAGAGUACGGUAGAGGGAGGUAGAAUUUCCUGUGUAGCGGUGAAAUGCGUAGAUAUAGGAAGGAAUACCAGUGGCGAAGGCGGCCUCCUGGAUCGAUACUGACGCUGAGGCGCGAAAGCGUGGGGAGCAAACAGG
rnacentral:rRNA from 1 species